AGAAAUGCAGUUAGGCUGUACAUAGGUGGGCAUGAGCACUGCCCACAGACAUGCAGUUAGGCUGUACAUAGGUGGGCAUGAGCACUGUCCACAGACAUGCAGUUAGGCUGUACAUAGGUGGGCCUGAGCACUGCCAACAGACAUGCAGUUAGGCUGUACAUAGAUGGGCCUGAGCACUGCCCACAGACAUGCAGUUAGGCUGUACAUACGUGGGCCUGAGCACUGCCCACAGACAUGCAGUUAGGCUGUACAUAGGUGGGACUGAGCACUGCCCACAAACAUGCAGUUAGGCUGUACAUAGGUGGGCCUGAACCCUGCCCACAGACAUGCAGUUAGGCUGUACAUAGGUGGGCCUGAACCCUGCCCACAGACAUGCAGUUAGG